GGCUUAUGCCUGCACCAUCGACCGACCAUGAUCUUCUGUGAAAGGUUUGAGUACGAGCAUACCUGUUGGGACCCGAAAGAUGGUGAACUAUGCCUGAGCAGGGCGAAGCCAGAGGAAACUCUGGUGGAGGCUCGUAGAUGUGCUGACGUGCAAAUCGCUUUUCGGACUUGGGUAUAGGGGCGAAAGACUACUAGUAGCUGGUUCCCUCCGAAGUUUCCCCCAGGAUAGCUGGAGCUUGAUCAGUUUUAUCGGGUAAAGCGAAUGAUUAGAGGUACCGGGGAUGAAACAUCCUCGACCUAUUCUCAAACUUUAAAUAGGUAAGACGUCUGGGUUGCUUAAUUGAACCCAGGCACUCAAUGAGAGCUCCAAGU
rnacentral:rRNA from 1 species